AAAAAAACAAUUAAAUGAAUCAUCAGUUAAAAGAAAAACAUGAAAAAGAACCCUCAAUCAUGGGAUUCCUACCGACAGUUACUUAACAAAAUCAUUAACAAUACUAAAUAUAGAGAAACCAAAACAAGAAAUGGAGUCUUCAAAAAUCAAAUCCUCACAACCCUUCAAAGAAAACCAACAGUUCUAUGGAGGUUCAUGAAGACAACAGUCUUCUGCAGCCAUUGCUUCUACCAACGUCAGAGCUUCUUCAACCCAGUAACCAUCCUCACCUCGACUUAAUCCCAUUUUGCGCCAUUGCAUGCGUUGUUUUGUUACCAGAUUGGCCAAUGAAGUGGAAGGCGCAGGCAUGAAACUCCUUUGCUAUCUCCUUUGCAGACUAGUUAAGAGCACUUAUAUCCGAAAAAUCCUAUUCAUGGUUGUUAAUCUUCCUGAUAACAUAUCUUAAGUCUCCCUUGACUGUUAUUGACAGAAAACCUAACUCUUUAGGAAAUCGGAACUCGUGUAUCACCGUAACUACUUCUGCUACAAAUACCGAAAGAACAAGGUAAGUGAUUUUGCAACAAGCUCUCAAAAUUUCCCCAUUUUCAUCUCGAAUCACAACCCCUGCUGCAGCUUUCUUUUGAUUUAAUCUAAACCCUGCAUCAACGUUUAUUUUGACCACCCCUGCAGGUGGCAGAGACCACCGAACUUGAACGUCGGAGACUACACCAUUAUUCGUAUGGAUCAUAGAGACCAACUCCACACAAUAGUUGCAAAUGAAGCUAACAAUCUCACGUACACUCUGGUUUGUUCCCUCAUGCACCAUACGAUUCCGGGCAAACCAUAUAGCCCACAUCGUAACACAAAUUUCAUUAUGUUUUGUUGUAUGAUGUAUCUUUAGUAUCCAUGAAAGCCACUCAUGGAAAUCCAUUUGAGCACUAACCACAUGCAAAGGGUAACCCAACAUUACCCACACAUCUUUUGCUUUAGCACAAAAUCUUAGCACAUGGUUCACUGUCUCAUAAUCAACAUUACACCUCGGAUAGCUUAGGUUAUUUGCAACUCUUCUAUUGUAUAAGCAUGAUCUAGUGGCUACAGAACCAUGAACAAAUUUCCACAAAGCUAUUUUGAUUUUCGGGGGACAUCUAGUUGCCCGAAUUUGCUUGAAAACAUCAUGCCUAGAUGAUAAAGGAGUCAGCUGUUGGAAUAAUAAACGAUAACCACUACGAACAGAGUAGAUACCGGAGUGUUCACCGCGCCACACGAGACAAUCCCCUUAAUGAAUAGACGGUAAAGGAAUACCCUGAAUGAGGAUUGCGUCAGCAACUACAAAAAGCAAGUCAAUCAAAUCCCGAUUCCAACCCAUUCCAUUUGGCAAAAUAAGCUCAGACACCCUUUCAAUAUU
rnacentral:lncRNA from 1 species